GACGGGACCCGCACAAGCGUGGAUGAUGUGGAUUAAUUCGAUGCAACGCGAAAACCUUACCUACCCUUGACAUGUCCGGAAUCCCGAAGAGAUUUGGGAGUGCUCGCAAGAGAGCCGGAACACAGGUGCUGCAUGGCUGUCGUCAGCUCGUGUCGUGAGAUGUUGGGUUAAGUCCCGCAACGAGCGCAACCCUUGUCAUUAGUUGCCAUCAUUUGGUUGGGCACUCUAAUGAGACUGCCGGUGACAAACCGGAGGAAGGUGGGGAUGACGUCAAGUCCUCAUGGCCCUUAUGGGUAGGGCUUCACACGUCAUACAAUGGUCGGUACAGAGGGUUGCCAACCCGCGAGGGGGAGCUAAUCCCACAAAGCCGAUCGUAGUCCGGAUCGCAGUCUGCAACUCGACUGCGUGAAGUCGGAAUCACUAGUAAUCGUGGAUCAGCAUGUCACGGUGAAUACGUUCCCGGGUCUU
rnacentral:rRNA from 1 species